rnacentral:rRNA from 1 species
UACGUAGGGUGCAAGCGUUGUCCGGAUUUAUUGGGCGUAAAGAGCUCGUAGGCGGUCUGUCACGUCGGCUGUGAAACCUCGGGGCUCAACCCCGAGCCUGCAGUCGAUACGGGCAGACUAGAGUUCGGCAGGGGAGACUGGAAUUCCUGGUGUAGCGGUGGAAUGCGCAGAUAUCAGGAGGAACACCAAUAGCGAAGGCAGCUCGCUGGGACGUUACUGACACUGAGGCGCGAAAGCGUGGGGAGCGAACAGG